AGAGAGAGAGAGAGAGAGAGAGAGAGAGAUUGACUGGGUAAGGUUUUAUGCUGUGAGACUCCUGAUUGUUUACCGGAGAGUGCAUUUGAGCAUGCAUGGCACUGUUACAUCCAUUAACAAACAUGAGAUUCAAUUCUGUUCAAGUCAUUUUCUCUGAGUGAGAUUUAAUGUCUGUAAAUUUGUCCAGAAAACAAUAGUACAGCAUUUCUUCUUUUUCUUCUUCUUGACAUGUUGUAACGUAUACAAUGUGAUAUUUGCAUUUCCACUGCCUCCAUCUUUUCCUCCAUCGUGUGAUCACAUGUAAUGAACACAGAACAUGUUCAUCAGGUUAUCACCUCUUUUUAAUGUCUGUGCAAUGUUCUAGCUCAUGUCUGCUUAGUGUCAAGGUUUUCCACUAAGGAAAUGGUCC